rnacentral:rRNA from 1 species
GACGAACGCUGGCGGCGUGCUUAACACAUGCAAGUCGAACGGAAAGGCCCUGCUUUUGUGGGGUGCUCGAGUGGCGAACGGGUGAGUAACACGUGAGUAACCUGCCCUUGACUUUGGGAUAACUUCAGGAAACUGGGGCUAAUACCGGAUAGGAGCUCCUGCUGCAUGGUGGGGGUUGGAACGUUUCGGCGGUUGGGGAUGGACGCGCGGCUUAUCAGCUUGUUGGUGGGGUAGUGGCUUACCAAGGGUUUGACGGGUAGCCGGCCUGAGAGGGUGACCGGCGACAUUGGGACUGAGAUACGGCCCAGACUGGUACGUGAGGCAGCAGUGGGAAAUAUUGCACAAUGGGCGGAAGCCUGAUGCAGCAACGCCGCGUGCGGGAUGACGUCCUUCGGGUUGUAAACCGCUUUCGCCUGUGACGAAGCGUGAGUGACGGUAAUGGGUAAAGAAGCACCGGCUAACUACGUG